GGGCCCGCACAAGCGGUGGAGUAUGUGGUUUAAUUCGAUGCAACGCGAAGAACCUUACCAGGGUUUGACAUCCUGCGAAUCUCUUGGAAACAGGAGAGUGCCUUCGGGAACGCAGUGACAGGUGGUGCAUGGCUGUCGUCAGCUCGUGUCGUGAGAUGUUGGGUUAAGUCCCGCAACGAGCGCAACCCACGUCUUUAGUUGCCAGCAGUUCGGCUGGGCACUCUAUGGAAACUGCCCGUGAUAAGCGGGAGGAAGGUGUGGAUGACGUCAAGUCCUCAUGGCCCUUACGGGUUGGGCUACACACGUGCUACAAUGGUAGUGACAAUGGGUUAAUCCCCAAAAACUAUCUCAGUUCGGAUUGUCGUCUGCAACUCGACGGCAUGAAGUCGGAAUCGCUAGUAAUCGCAAAU
rnacentral:rRNA from 1 species